UUAAGCGACUAAGCGUACACGGUGGAUGCCCUGGCAGUCAGAGGCGAUGAAGGACGUGCUAAUCUGCGAUAAGCGUCGGUGAAGGUGAUAUGAACCGUUAUAACCGGCGAUUUCCGAAUGGGGAAACCCAGUGUGUUUCGACACACUAUCAUUAACUGAAUCCAUAGGUUAAUGAGGCGAACCGGGGGAACUGAAACAUCUAAGUACCCCGAGGAAAAGAAAUCAACCGAGAUUCCCCCAGUAGCGGCGAGCGAACGGGGAGGAGCCCAGAGCCUGAAUCAGUGGUGUGUGUUAGUGGAAGCGUCUGGAAAGGCGCGCGAUACAGGGUGACAGCCCCGUACACAAAAAUGCACAUAUUGUGAGCUCGAUGAGUAGGGCGGGACACGUGGGUAUCCCUGUCUGAAUAUGGGGGGACCAUCCUCCAAGGCUAAAUACUCCUGACUGACCGAUAGUGAACCAGUACCGUGAGGGAAAGGCGAAAAGAACCCCGGCGAGGGGAGUGAAAAAGAACCUGAAACCGUGUACGUACAAGCAGUGGGAGCCUCUUUAUGGGGUGACUGCGUACCUUUUGUAUAAUGGGUCAGCGACUUAUAUUCUGUAGCAAGGUUAACCGAAUAGGGGAGCCGAAGGGAAACCGAGUCUUAACUGGGCGUUAAGUUGCAGGGUAUAGACCCGAAACCCGGUGAUCUAGCCAUGGGCAGGUUGAAGGUUGGGUAACACUAACUGGAGGACCGAACCGACUAAUGUUGAAAAAUUAGCGGAUGACUUGUGGCUGGGGGUGAAAGGCCAAUCAAACCGGGAGAUAGCUGGUUCUCCCCGAAAGCUAUUUAGGUAGCGCCUCGUGAAUUCAUCUCCGGGGGUAGAGCACUGUUUCGGCAAGGGGGUCAUCCCGACUUACCAACCCGAUGCAAACUGCGAAUACCGGAGAAUGUUAUCACGGGAGACACACGGCGGGUGCUAACGUCCGUCGUGAAGAGGGAAACAACCCAGACCGCCAGCUAAGGUCCCAAAGUCAUGGUUAAGUGGGAAACGAUGUGGGAAGGCCCAGACAGCCAGGAUGUUGGCUUAGAAGCAGCCAUCAUUUAAAGAAAGCGUAAUAGCUCACUGGUCGAGUCGGCCUGCGCGGAAGAUGUAACGGGGCUAAACCAUGCACCGAAGCUGCGGCAGCGACACUAUGUGUUGUUGGGUAGGGGAGCGUUCUGUAAGCCUGUGAAGGUGGCCUGUGAGGGUUGCUGGAGUAUCAGAAGUGCGAAUGCUGACAUAAGUAACGAUAAAGCGGGUGAAAAGCCCGCUCGCCGGAAGACCAAGGGUUCCUGUCCAACGUUAAUCGGGGCAGGGUGAGUCGACCCCUAAGGCGAGGCCGAAAGGCGUAGUCGAUGGGAAACAGGUUAAUAUUCCUGUACUUGGUGUUACUGCGAAGGGGGGACGGAGAAGGCUAUGUUGGCCGGGCGACGGUUGUCCCGGUUUAAGCGUGUAGGCUGGUUUUCCAGGCAAAUCCGGAAAACCAAGGCUGAGGCGUGAUGACGAGGCACUACGGUGCUGAAGCGACAAAUGCCCUGCUUCCAGGAAAAGCCUCUAAGCAUCAGGUAACAUCAAAUCGUACCCCAAACCGACACAGGUGGUCAGGUAGAGAAUACCAAGGCGCUUGAGAGAACUCGGGUGAAGGAACUAGGCAAAAUGGUGCCGUAACUUCGGGAGAAGGCACGCUGAUAUGUAGGUGAAGCGACUUGCUCGUGGAGCUGAAAUCAGUCGAAGAUACCAGCUGGCUGCAACUGUUUAUUAAAAACACAGCACUGUGCAAACACGAAAGUGGACGUAUACGGUGUGACGCCUGCCCGGUGCCGGAAGGUUAAUUGAUGGGGUUAGCGGUAACGCGAAGCUCUUGAUCGAAGCCCCGGUAAACGGCGGCCGUAACUAUAACGGUCCUAAGGUAGCGAAAUUCCUUGUCGGGUAAGUUCCGACCUGCACGAAUGGCGUAAUGAUGGCCAGGCUGUCUCCACCCGAGACUCAGUGAAAUUGAACUCGCUGUGAAGAUGCAGUGUACCCGCGGCAAGACGGAAAGACCCCGUGAACCUUUACUAUAGCUUGACACUGAACAUUGAGCCUUGAUGUGUAGGAUAGGUGGGAGGCUUUGAAGUGUGGACGCCAGUCUGCAUGGAGCCGACCU
rnacentral:rRNA from 1 species